rnacentral:rRNA from 1 species
GAUGAACGCUGGCGGCGUGCCUAAUACAUGCAAGUCGAGCGAACGGACGAGAAGCUUGCUUCUCUGAUGUUAGCGGCGGACGGGUGAGUAACACGUGGAUAACCUACCUAUAAGACUGGGAUAACUUCGGGAAACCGGAGCUAAUACCGGAUAAUAUUUUGAACCGCAUGGUUCAAAAGUGAAAGACGGUCUUGCUGUCACUUAUAGAUGGAUCCGCGCUGCAUUAGCUAGUUGGUAAGGUAACGGCUUACCAAGGCAACGAUGCAUAGCCGACCAGAGAGGGUGAUCGGCCACACUGGAACUGAGGCACGGUCCAGACUCCUACGGGAGGCAGCAGUAGGGAAUCUUCCGCAAUGGGCGAAAGCCUGACGGAGCAACGCCGCGUGAGUGAUGAAGGUCUUCGGAUCGUAAAACUCUGUUAUUAGGGAAGAACAUAUGUGUAAGUAACUGUGCACAUCUUGACGGUACCUAAUCAGAAAGCCACGGCUAACUACGUGCCAGCAGCCGCGGUAAUACGUAGGUGGCAAGCGUUAUCCGGAAUUAUUGGGCGUAAAGCGCGCGUAGGCGGUUUUUUAAGUCUGAUGUGAAAGCCCACGGCUCAACCGUGGAGGGUCAUUGGAAACUGGAAAACUUGAGUGCAGAAGAGGAAAGUGGAAUUCCAUGUGUAGCGGUGAAAUGCGCAGAGAUAUGGAGGAACACCAGUGGCGAAGGCGACUUUCUGGUCUGUAACUGACGCUGAUGUGCGAAAGCGUGGGGAUCAAACAGGAUUAGAUACCCUGGUAGUCCACGCCGUAAACGAUGAGUGCUAAGUGUUAGGGGGUUUCCGCCCCUUAGUGCUGCAGCUAACGCAUUAAGCACUCCGCCUGGGGAGUACGACCGCAAGGUUGAAACUCAAAGGAAUUGACGGGGACCCGCACAAGCGGUGGAGCAUGUGGUUUAAUUCGAAGCAACGCGAAGAACCUUACCAAAUCUUGACAUCCUUUGACAACUCUAGAGAUAGAGCUUUCCCCUUCGGGGGACAAAGUGACAGGUGGUGCAUGGUUGUCGUCAGCUCGUGUCGUGAGAUGUUGGGUUAAGUCCCGCAACGAGCGCAACCCUUAAGCUUAGUUGCCAUCAUUAAGUUGGGCACUCUAAGUUGACUGCCGGUGACAAACCGGAGGAAGGUGGGGAUGACGUCAAAUCAUCAUGCCCCUUAUGAUUUGGGCUACACACGUGCUACAAUGGACAAUACAAAGGGCAGCGAAACCGCGAGGUCAAGCAAAUCCCAUAAAGUUGUUCUCAGUUCGGAUUGUAGUCUGCAACUCGACUACAUGAAGCUGGAAUCGCUAGUAAUCGUAGAUCAGCAUGCUACGGUGAAUACGUUCCCGGGUCU